rnacentral:rRNA from 1 species
CAGCCGCCGCGGGAAUACGUAGGUCCCGAGCGUCGUCCGGAUUUAUUGGGCGUAAAGGGAGCGCAGGCGGUUUAGUAAGUCUGAAGUUAAAGGCAUUGGCUCAACCAAUGUAUGCUUUGGAAACUGUUAGACUUGAGUGCAGAAGGGGAGAGUGGAAUUCCAUGUGUAGCGGUGAAAUGCGUAGAUAUAUGGAGGAACACCGGUGGCGAAAGCGGCUCUCUGGUCUGUCACUGACGCUGAGGCUCGAAAGCGUGGGUAGCGAACAGGAUUAGAUACCCCCGUAGUCCCUGUCUCUUAUACA